rnacentral:rRNA from 1 species
UACAGAGGGGGCAAGCGUUAUUCGGAAUUAUUGGGCGUAAAGCGCACGUAGUCGGCUUUGCAAGUCGGGUGUGAAAUCCCCGGGCUCAACCUGGGAACUGCAUCCGAGACUGCAUUGCUAGAGUAUGGGAGAGGGAAGCGGAAUUUCUGGUGUAGCAGUGAAAUGCGUAGAUAUCAGAAGGAACAUCAGUGGCGAAGGCGGCUUCCUGGACCAAUACUGACGCUCAUGCACGAAAGCGUGGGGAGCAAACAGG